rnacentral:rRNA from 1 species
UACAGAGGGUGCAAGCGUUGUUCGGAAUUAUUGGGCGUAAAGCGCGUGUAGGCGGUCUUGCAAGUCGGGUGUGAAAGCCCUCAGCUCAACUGAGGAAGUGCGCCCGAAACUGCGGGGCUUGAGUACCGGAGAGGAUGGCGGAAUUCCCCAAGUAGAGGUGAAAUUCGUAGAUAUGGGGAGGAACACCGGUGGCGAAGGCGGCCAUCUGGACGGAUACUGACGCUGAGACGCGAAAGCGUGGGUAGCAAACAGG